UCUUAUGAAUGAACAAUAAAAGUGGUUUCUUGAGACAGAAUCUACUCUUGGUAAAGAUGGUGUGAA
rnacentral:pre_miRNA from 1 species